rnacentral:rRNA from 1 species
UUAAACGGGAGGCCCAAGUUGACAGACAGCGGCGUAAAGCGUGGUUAAGAUACUUAUUAAAUAGGGCCGAAUAGUCUCAAGGCAGUCAAAUAUAUCCGAGACCACGAAGCACAUCCACGAAGGUGGCCCUAACACCCACUGACCCCACGAAAGCCAUAACACAAACUGGGAUUAGAUACCCCACUAUGUAUGGCCGUCAAAAUUGAUGGUACUUCACUCGAACCAUCCGCCCGGGA